AACGCUAGCUACAGGCUUAACACAUGCAAGUCGAGGGGAAACGACAUCGAAAGCUUGCUUUUGAUGGGCGUCGACCGGCGCACGGGUGAGUAACGCGUAUCCAACCUGCCCAUCACUUGGGGAUAACCUUGCGAAAGUAAGACUAAUACCCAAUGACGUCUCUAGAAGACAUCUGAAGGAGAUUAAAGAUUUAUCGGUGAUGGAUGGGGAUGCGUCUGAUUAGCUUGUUGGCGGGGUAACGGCCCACCAAGGCGACGAUCAGUAGGGGUUCUGAGAGGAAGGUCCCCCACAUUGGAACUGAGACACGGUCCAAACUCCUACGGGAGGCAGCAGUGAGGAAUAUUGGUCAAUGGACGAGAGCCUGAACCAGCCAAGUAGCGUGCAGGAUGACGGCCCUAUGGGUUGUAAACUGCUUUUAUAAGGGAAUAAAGUUAGCCACGUGUGGUUAUUUGUAGGUACUGUAUGAAUAAGGACCGGCUAAUUCCGUGCCAGCAGCCGCGGUAAUACGGAAGGUCCAGGCGUUAUCCGGAUUUAUUGGGUUUAAAGGGAGCGCAGGCCGUCCUUUAAGCGUGCUGUGAAAUGCCGCGGCUCAACCGUGGCACUGCAGCGCGAACUGGAGGACUUGAGUACGCACGAGGUAGGCGGAAUUCGUGGUGUAGCGGUGAAAUGCUUAGAUAUCACGAAGAACUCCGAUUG
rnacentral:rRNA from 1 species